UCAAUCUCUGUAUUGAAGUUACCCCGGC
rnacentral:sRNA from 1 species